AUGCUGGUGUUUCAACAUCCUCAACUUGACGACAGAAAGGUCAGUGCAAGGCAUGGGGCAUUCACAAACCACACCACAAGGGCCAGGCAGAGGGGAAGCAAGGGGCCAGGAAUUCGUACUCCCACCCCGCUCCCCCCCCCCCCACCACACUCCCACCCUGGAUCCCCUCAAAAAGCAGCCAGGACAGAGAAAGCUAGGGGCUGGCCCCCUGUCCUAAACUUCCCUGAUAGCUUACAAACAACUUUUAAACUCACGGGACCGUACCAACGCCAGGGAAGUCAAGUCCGAAUUCAACGCCGGCCAAACUGCUCAUUCUCCAACCACAGCGCCUGCCUCUUUAUCUCUACCUUCAAAAAAACAAUAAUAAGCAAACGCAGGCACCUCUGGGAACAGCCUCUGGCCUCCUGCCCUGCCCUGUGUAACCAGCCUGUCCUCACACCCACGAGAGAGGAGGAGACAGCCCCAGUUAACCCUCUGGUCUACCAGGCCCUGUUCCCAGGUUGCAGCAGGAAGACAAACUGUUGCUCAAGAAAAGCCUCCAGAAAACCCUUGGCACCCGGAGGCAGAUCCCUGCAGCUUCUGCCCAGCGCCGAGCCAGGGGCUUCCACAGGCAGCUUCUUAAAUCUGCGGGGUUGGGCUCCACUCUCCCAUGCCCUGGGCUGUCCACCCAGGGGGCUCCAAACGGCCAUGGCAGAGCAGGGAGGAGGAAAAGGCUGGCCGAGCAGUGCCCUCACCCUGCCAGCCCAGCCGCCAGCUUCUUGGAGGACCUCUGAGAGAACAUUUGUUUGGGCUGCCAAGUUAAAUCUCCCUCCCUCAUGUCAAGGCAUUGGAAAAGCAGUCAGGGGAGAGGAGAAGGGGGAGAGCUGGGAAGGAGCAGCGGGAGGGAGGGAGGCAGGCAGGCAGGCAGGCAGGCAGCUCUCAGAGCCCCAGUUACUCAGGCGCUGCCCAAGGAAGCUUGCGCUCCCAGGCCGGAGGGGGGACACCCAAGCAGGGGCCGGGCCACCAGCCCUCCAGGAUCAGGCACCGGGUGCUAGUCGCUCUGUGCCCCGGCCUCCGGAGAGGCCCUCGCUCUGUGCCCGGCUAGAGGGGCGAGGUGGGAAGGGAAGGCAGAGGAGGAAAAAGUUUGUGGCAGGUAAAGGGGUAAGCGCUGAGCAGCCCCGCCGUCGGGUUGUCCCCCAGGGAGGGAUGGGGUGGGGGGGGGGCCGGGACCGCUGCCCCGGCGCGCUCCCGCCAGCCCGCCCUCCUGCCCGGGUUGUUUACAUUCCUGGAGUGUCUUUUAAACCCGGGGCUGAGGCCGACUCCCGGCCUUCUCCGGCGGCUCCGGGGCAGUCUCCCGUGAAAAUCUGCUGGCGCACAAUGGCCGGGAAGGCGGCCGCCCCUCGCCCGCGCCCCCGCUGCUCCGGGGCGGGGAGCCUGCCCUCCGCACCGCGCCUCUCCCCGCCCGCCUGGCUUCCUGGACAGAUGUCCCCGGCGAGGGGGCGACGCGCGCCCGCUGCCCGCGCCCCAGACGCUGAGGCCGCGCUCCCCACUGUUUUCUCCCCAGCCCAGACGCCAGGAAUGUGA
rnacentral:lncRNA from 1 species